GAGGGGAGGAGAGAGAGAGAGAGAGAGAGAGGCUGCUGGCUGGUACAGAGAGGGAGAGUGCCUGGGGGCUGUCGAACUGCAGACCUCUUUGACUCUCCCCUCCGUGGCGUAUUGGUGACCCACCAAAACGUGAGCCAUGACCUGCCCGGGUCACCGCGGAGUUACUGGGGCAGCUGGUGAAGACGGUCACCAACCACACCCUACAGAUCUACCCAGAUGAGGAUCACAUCUUCAAGCUAAAGCGAAAUCACAGGCACCUUGAGAGAACCAUCGUCAGCUUCCUUCGGGGCUGCUUCCAGGGCGACCAGGGCAGGAGCCCGUGAGCCCACCCCACCCCGCCUCCCCCCAGGGGUGGGGGUGGGGAGCCGAGGGUAGGUGUGCUGAGGGCGACGGAUGCCCUCCACCAGCCUCCCUGCCCCCGCAGAGAGGUGCCCGCCAGCAACCAGGAGGCACCAAGGGGCUUUACCUCUCCCCCUUCCCUCCCUCACUCCCUCCCUCCCAGACACAGGGGUGGUUCGGCCAUGGGGAACCCUGGGAGGGGGAUGUUGGUGGGCACGGACCAGCCUCGCGUGGGGGUUGAGGAGUGUUUCCUCACGGUGAGGGCACUGAGGUCCGGGGGUUACACACGCACGGUUCAACAAGACUCCAUGUUGGAAAAGAACCGGCUCCCCUGACCCCAGCAUAGCCUCUCCCCACCCCCCACAGCAACCAGCCAUGACCCAUCAUCAACCACUCACCUCCUGAUUGUCAAUUCCAUUUCACUGCUCGAGACUGAUUUCUGAUUCCUCCACCAACUGCUCGAGACUGAUUUCUGAUUAUUCCACCAACUGCUCGAGACUGAUUUCUGAUUCCUCCAUCAACUGCUCGAGACUGAUUAUUCCAUCAACUGCUCGAGACUGAUUUCUGAUUCCUCCGCCAACUGCUCGGGACUGAUUUCUGAUUAUUCCAUCAACUGCUCGAGACUGAUUUCUGAAUAUUCCAUCAACUGCUCAAGACUGAUUUCUGAUUAUUCCAACUGGUCGAGACUGAUUUCUGAAUACUCCACCAACUGCUCGAGACUGAUUUCUGAUUCUUCUCCCUCUGACUGGAUUGUCCGAAUCUGAUUUUGACUAUUCUGUUGUUAAUCAAUUGAUUGAGCCUGAUUAUUGAUUAGUUUCUCUCUGACAAUUGCCCGAGUCUGAUUGUGAUCGAUCCAACGCUAAUCAAUUUCUUGGGUUGGAUUUAUGAUUAUUCUAUCUCUGAAUGAUUGGAUUUGAUUUAUUACUGUCAUGUGUACCGCGCUACAGUGAGAAGUGUUGUUGUACAUGUUUACAGUGAGAUGGUACUGUGCAAGGACAUGAGAGUUCUGGAACAGAGUGUAGGAAACAAUGUUUGCUGAGCAUUUGCGAGACAAUGAUUGCU